rnacentral:lncRNA from 1 species
CACUGAGGUGCGUACAAGCAUGGGUGAGCUAGCUCCUGGAAGAUUACUGUCCAGAAUAUUUACUCAGCAGACUGCAAUAUUAGCCAGCACAGCCAGUUUAAGGACUCUGUGCACUGCAGCAGAGAUUGCAGUGUCAUUGGGCUGGGAUGCUUUAAUGUUCAGUCCUGGAAAUGGGAAUAACUUUAAGGACAUCCAGAGGCUGGAGCAGUCAUCUAGAGACUGGCGUUCUGAGUUCAACUCCCUUCUCUGUCUAAUUAAUUUAAACCCUGUUAUUCUAACUACCUAAGGCACUAUAUUCGUUAAGAAGGGCUUUAGAGUGAUCAUCAGAAAUGUAUCUGCUCUGACUGCUGGCCACUGACUGGUAAAUUGAUUCCUUUCCUGGCUUGCGACAAGUGACCGUAGAGAGUGACUGCACAGAUGAGAGAUAUCUGGAAUGUCAAUUCUCCAGACCUCCUGCCUUCUGAGAGAACCCAUGAUUAAUUUUUUUCUGGAAGAGAG